GGCCGGUUAGCUCAGCCAGUUAAGCAUGGCGCUAACAAUGCCAAGGUCGUGGGUUCGAUUCCCGUUCAGUCCC
rnacentral:tRNA from 1 species